rnacentral:rRNA from 1 species
AGUUUGAUCCUGGCUCAGAUUGAACGCUGGCGGCAUGCCUUACACAUGCAAGUCGAACGGUAACAGGUCUUCGGAUGCUGACGAGUGGCGAACGGGUGAGUAAUACAUCGGAACGUGCCUAGUAGUGGGGGAUAACUACUCGAAAGAGUGGCUAAUACCGCAUGAGAUCUACGGAUGAAAGCAGGGGAUCGCAAGACCUUGUGCUACUAGAGCGGCCGAUGGCAGAUUAGGUAGUUGGUGGGAUAAAAGCUUACCAAGCCGACGAUCUGUAGCUGGUCUGAGAGGACGAUCAGCCACACUGGGACUGAGACACGGCCCAGACUCCUACGGGAGGCAGCAGUGGGGAAUUUUGGACAAUGGGCGCAAGCCUGAUCCAGCAAUGCCGCGUGCAGGAUGAAGGCCUUCGGGUUGUAAACUGCUUUUGUACGGAACGAAAAGCCCUGGGUUAAUACCCUGGGGUCAUGACGGUACCGUAAGAAUAAGCACCGGCUAACUACGUGCCAGCAGCCGCGGUAAUACGUAGGGUGCGAGCGUUAAUCGGAAUUACUGGGCGUAAAGCGUGCGCAGGCGGUUUUGUA